AUACCUUUCUCUGCCUUUUUGCUAAGAUCAAGUGUAGUAUCUGUUUUUAUCAGUUUAAUAUCUGAUAUGUGGGCCAUUGGCCCACACGAUAUUAAUUCUAUUUUUUGAGGGGAAAGGCUCAUCAAGGUAGCUUGCUGCCUAGGCCUUCAAGCGACGCCUGAGCAUUGCACUACUGCUUAGGUCUGGCACGGCCC
rfam:Capsicum annuum cultivar Zunla-1 unplaced genomic scaffold scaffold258, whole genome shotgun sequence